CUCUCACAUUCCCGGCGAGGCGGCCUCGGGGAAGGAGGGCGAGCGCGGCCCGAGCUGCCUUCGUUCGGGGUGCGGCGAGGAGGAGGAGGAGGAGGGAGGAGAAGCGGCGGCGGGCGCUGCUCUUGCCGCUGCGGAAGGUUUUCUCGGGCGGCCUCUUUCCCUUUCUCCCCGCCUUCUGUCGCUGCGGCUGCGGCAGCUCUCGCUCGUCCCUAUUGUCAGUCAGUCAGUCAGUCAGUCACUGAGCUCCGGCCAUGGCCCUCUCCCGUCUCUCUCUCAAACACACACACACGCUCGCUCGCGCCCUCUCCCGCUUUCUCCGGCGCGCGCACGCGCUCUCGCGCUCUCUCUCACACACACACAUACACCGUCAGUCAGUCAGUCAGCCGAGCCAGCCGUUCAGGCCCCCGCUCGCAGCCGAACAUGCUGGGACCCUCGAGGCCCCGCCCCGCGCCCACGCCCCUCGGGAGGAUGGCGGUGGAGGGGGAGGAGCCGAGGCUGGGCGUGCGCGUGCCGGCACCGUUGACGUCCGCCGCCGCCAGAACGUCCGACGCGAAGCCUCAUUGGGCCGGAAGCAAGUCGGUUCCUCCUCCUCCUCCCGCCCCUUCCCCCCACCCCGGCUUCGUAUCGCCUCAAGCGGCAGCAGCGGCAAGAGGACAAGGCCGCGGCGGGAGCCGAGUGGUACGGGCGUUUUCUGUCAGGGAGAAAGGGAGACCGGCGGGCUCGCGGGGAGAGGCGAGGGUGGGUGGGUUGGUUCUCCCCGCGCCCCCUUCUCCCCCGGAGUCCCGCGGUCCUCUUGCCUCCCGCCACGGCCGGCGGCUGCGGUCUCCUGAGGGAAGCGGGGUGCUGCGCGGCGGCCGCCGGGCCUUAGCGAGGGGUCCGCUUCCGUUUGGGCUCUGGAAAUUAAGGGACUUGGGGGGGGGGUGCGGGGAUAUUUUUUUUCUGGAAAGGCUGAGGUAAGUAUUCACACGUGACGCAUUUCUCGACGCGUGGAGGAAGAAGCGGAAGCUCGCUGGCCGUGACCUGUGUCGCCUUUUCGCGGAUGUCGCGCGCGCGCGCUGAUCCUGGGAUCGCCCCUUUUCUCUGCGAGGCGGAUUUUGUUACUAUUAUUUUGCGAAGCAGCUGCCUGGCUUGUGAGGAAAGAGGAAGAGACGUUUCUGAGAGAGAACCCACAAAGCAAACCCCGCGGAGCGGUUUGCGCCCUGGUUUGAGGUGCGAUCCUGUGCCUACCUGCCUGGAAGCAGAAGCCUGGGGCGGAGACGUCUGAGAGGAGCCCAGCAGCGAGGAAGUCCCUGGAGCCUGUGAGGGCUUGGCGCCUAUCUGGGUGCUGCUUCCAGGCCAGGAGAGGCAGCUGGAGAAUGGCAGCUCGGACAUCAGAGAACGAGAAGAAGUUACAUGCUCUUCUGCCCUGCCCAAAUAACUUUUGGCCGUUUCUUUGCCUAAAAUAAGCUUGUUUAGUAGGCGUGGGUUAGUGUUCCAGGUGCAGUGAUGCGCCAGCUGUGACAGAUUGCAGGAUGCAGCAUGGUCUUGCCUUGCCUCUUCCUUUGGCCAGUCAGUAUACAUGCCCUCGGAAUUUGUCCUCACUGGGGUGGUGUCCUGACUACAUAUAGGGAUUCGUAUGAUGAAAUACUCCACGUCCAAAAGUAUUUCCUUUGUGUAAGGAAAUUAUCUUGCCAAGGAGAAGACACCAUCCUAGCUUCUGUGUAAGGUUUCCACAUGGAGGGAGGGAGUGAUGGUGCUGGUUUUUGUAUGGAGAAGUGUUGCAACAUAUGAAAAAUCCCACCCAAAAUUCCAGACCAGCCAUACCACUUCAUUGCUUAAGAAAGAAUUAAGGCUCACAUCUGGGGCCCAAUGAGUUAAUGAUGGGGACAGUCAGUGCAAUUUUUCUAGAAAAAGAGGUGCUAGAGCUCACCAAGAAAUUCUCCUCUGUUCUCUUAGAAUGGCGAUGGCACCUACUUGAGAGGUUCCAGAGCUGAGUUCAGUUGUCUGCAGUCCAGAACUCUCUUGUCUCUGAGGAGUAAAUUUGCCACUUCCAUCUUGGACAUUCUCCAUCAUUUUGAGCCCCUCCAAAGCCUAAAGCACUCUUGGAGCUCCAGGUGACUAGGAAUCACACCACUGCGCUGUCAGCCCCUGUAGUUCUUGGUCAUGGAGCCUACUCUGGAACUACCACAGAGAUACAGAUGGUGGGCUGUAAACAGCUCUGGUGUAGAACCAGUUCUCAUGAUUGGUAAUGCUCAAGGACGUGGACAAGGUACUUGAAUCAGUCGGGGGACGGCUUCCCCUCUGGAUCUUUGCCCCCAUGGUUGAUAAAAACUAUCAGGCAGAGGACAGCAUGCUGGGCUAGGGAGGUGGUUAAUGUCUCCCUGCAAGACAGGAUGGUCCCUGCCUGCUUGAAGGAGGCAGUGGUAAGACCACCCCUUAAGAAGCCUUCCCUGGAUUCAGAAAAUCUUAAGUAAUUACCAGCCAGUUGCCAAUCUCCUCUUCUUGAUUGCAUCAUCGCAGAUCAGGUUCAGGCACUCUUGGAGGAAACUGAUUUUCUAGAUCCAUUUCAAUUGGGGUAUAGGUCUGGUUUGGGCACAGAAACUCCUUUGGUCACCCUGUAUGAUGACCUCUGUCAGGAGAGGGGGGAAAUGUGUCCCUGUUAAUUCUCAACCUCUCAGUGGCUUUCAAUGCCAUAGACCAUAGUAUCCUUCUGGAGCAGCUGUAUGAGUUGGGGUAGGUGGGUGGCACUGCUUUUCAGUGGUCAGAUAGUCUAUUCCAGAGGUUGAUACUUAUAUCAUGUUCUUCGGCCCUUCAUUGUGGGGUUUCUCAGGGUUCAAAUUUAUCCCCUAUGCUAGUUAACAUUAACAUGAAACCACUGAGUUGGGUCAUCCAGUGUUUUGGAGUUUGUUGUCAGCGAUAUGCUGAUGGCACACAGCUCUACUUCUCCUUUACAUGGGUGUGCUGGACCGUUGUUUUUUAUUAGAUUGUAUGAGAGUCAACAAAUUGAAGCUCACUGAGGCACAGUUAGUGGGUAGUUUCCUAUACCAAAUGGAUGGGCAGUUGCCUUCUCUUGAUGGGGUUACACUCCUUCUGGAGGAGUGGGUACAUAGCUUGUGGGUGCUCCUGGAUCCCUUGCUGUCAUUUGAGGCUCAGGUGGCCUUUUGCCAUGUUAAGUGAAAGUAAUAGUAAAAAUUUCACCCAGCUGCUUCUGCAUACAAAAGUACAGUGACUCUAAAAGGAAGAUUGUUUACAAAGACUAGCCAAUUCAGCUAUAGAACCUCUGAAAUAUGUGGAACCAUCACUGGGUAAUGAGUUGUUGCACUAUAAAGAUCAUGUCUUAUUUUGCAAAUUUAAUGAAAUACAAAAAAGCCUGCAAAGGAAAGGCAUUACUACCAUUCAAACUCAAACUAUAAUACCACUAUUUCACAAACUUGCUGCACCUGUAAUGGGGAGCUGAGAAUAGUACUUCAGACAAUGACCUAUUGAUCUAUACAACACACCUUUCCUGAAUUGCAGGGGGUGGACUAGAUCAGUGUUUCCCAACCUUGGGCCUCCAGCUGUUUUUGAACUACA